ACAACGUUGUUGACUGGCUGGUUCAUUCCGAAUGGCGCAGAGGGUAACGUCACGCAGCUCUUCCUCAUACGUCUUCGUCACAGCGUGUAGAGGCGGCUCUCUGACCAAUGACUCCACGACUCACUCGUGGUGAGUGUCGAAGUGUUGGGGUGGAGCGUUAUAGGCCCUCUCUACACGUCGGAUCCAACACUGAACGCCAGAGGGCUGGGAUUGCCUUGCCUCGGUGUGUUCUUCGUCUCAUCGAUCUGUGUUACCGUUACAACAGCAGGACACCCACAGAUCCUUUCAGAUCCCUCUGUGCGCAAUCAGGAGAGUUGAAGAUCUGCAUUUGCAUCCCUUGAAAAAACAUCCCACUGAGCCAUUUGGGGAGAGCGCCACAGUUAUUAACCACAGUUAUUCACAGGUGUGUGUCCAUAAUGCAAUUCGGCAAGGCAUCCUUAGCCAACGAACCCU